ensembl:ncRNA K02G10.14 ncRNA
GUUAUCAGUAGAGCAGUGUUGCAUUGAACGACGGCAGUUCUGCCUGCCUCGUCGCCGGCCAGACACACUCAACGUGCCCCCCUCCCCCUCCGCCACCCGAAAAAUUCGUCUCCGUUGUUCUCUC